rnacentral:rRNA from 1 species
GACAAAGUGACAGGUGGUGCAUGGUUGUCGUCAGCUCGUGUCGUGAGAUGUUGGGUUAAGUCCCGCAACGAGCGCAACCCUUGAUCUUAGUUGCCAGCAUUCAGUUGGGCACUCUAAGGUGACUGCCGGUGACAAACCGGAGGAAGGUGGGGAUGACGUCAAAUCAUCAUGCCCCUUAUGACCUGGGCUACACACGUGCUACAAUGGAUGGUACAAAGGGCUGCGAGACCGCGAGGUUUAGCCAAUCCCAUAAAACCAUUCUCAGUUCGGAUUGCAGGCUGCAACUCGCCUGCAUGAAGCUGGAAUCGCUAGUAAUCGCGGAUCAGCAUGCCGCGGUGAAUACGUUCCCGGGCCUUGUACACACCGCCCGUCACACCACGAGAGUUUGCAACACCCGAAGUCGGUGGGGUAACCGCAAG